GAUGAACGCUGGCGGCGUGCCUAACACAUGCAAGUCGAACGGAGCUGCUUUGAUGAAGUUUUCGGAUGGAUUUAAAACAGCUUAGUGGCGGACGGGUGAGUAACGCGUGGGUAACCUGCCUCACACUGGGGGAUAACAGUUAGAAAUAGCUGCUAAUACCGCAUAAGCGCACGGUUCCGCAUGGAACAGUGUGAAAAAACUCCGGUGGUGUGAGAUGGACCCGCGUCUGAUUAGCCAGUUGGCGGGGUAACGGCCCACCAAAGCGACGAUCAGUAGCCGGCCUGAGAGGGUGAACGGCCACAUUGGGACUGAGACACGGCCCAAAACUCCUACGGGAGGCAGCAGUGGGGAAUAUUGCACAAUGGGGGAAACCCUGACUGCAGCGACGCGCGUGAGUGAAGAAGUAUUCGGUAUGUAAAGCUNUAUCAGCAGGGAAGGAAGUGACGGUACCUGAAUAAGAAGCCCGG
rnacentral:rRNA from 1 species